AGCUCUUAAUUCGUUCUGCGGAGAGAGAAAGCAGACAGGGACUGGAGGAGAUGAUGCAGACAUGAGUGUGUCACUGCCAGCUCAUAGCAUGAUCAUAGCAUGAUUAUAUCGUAAAGUACUGCACCUCUGACAGCGAAACAUUCGCUAUUUCUAAGAGAAAAAUGAAAGUGGCAAAAAAAGAGGAAGAGAUGCAAUCUAAUGAAUCGAGAGAGAGAGAGAUGCGGAGAAAGAGCAUUAAUAGCGGCAGACCAAACUUUUCUCAUGAUCCAGACAAACCUGAAGAGAUUCAUUCUGAUGAUUCAGAUGGAGACACAGGCGAGGUAUCUGAAAUAUGAUUUUACUGGAGAAGAUCAGAGGCAGAAUCUCUUUCAUCAGAGUUUAACCUGCAUUCUGCUAUAAAAAUA